rnacentral:rRNA from 1 species
AUACCGCGUGUGUGAAGAAGGCCUGAGGGUUGUAAAGCACUUUCAAUAGGAAGGAAUACCUAUCGGUUAAUACCCGGUAGACUGACAUUACCUAUACAAGAAGCACCGGCUAACUCCGUGCCAGCAGCCGCGGUAAUACGGAGGGUGCAAGCGUUAAUCGGAAUUACUGGGCGUAAAGCGUGCGUAGGCGGUUAUUUAAGUCAGAUGUGAAAGCCCUGGGCUUAACCUGGGAACUGCAUUUGAUACUGGAUGACUAGAGUUGAGUAGAGGAGAGUGGAAUUUCAGGUGUAGCGGUGAAAUGCGUAGAGAUCUGAGGGAACACCAGUGGCGAAGGCGGCUCUCUGGACUCAAACUGACGCUGAGGUACGAAAGCGUGGGUAGCAAACAGGAUUAGAUACCCUGGUAGUCCACGCCGUAAACGAUGUCAACUAACCGUUGGGUUCUUUAAGAACUUAGUGGUGGAGCUAACGUAUUAAGUUGACCGCCUGGGGAGUACGGCCGCAAGGCUAAAACUCAAAUGAAUUGACGGGGGCCCGCACAAGCGGUGGAGCAUGUGGUUUAAUUCGAUGCAACGCGAAGAACCUUACCUACCCUUGACAUGUAGCGAAUCCUUUAGAGAUAGAGGAGUGGCUUCGGGAACGCUACACAGGUGCUGCAUG